GCGGGACUACCGUGUUAUGGGGCGGGGCUAUUAUAAGGGUUGGCGAGGUUGUCGAAUUAGGGGCGGGGCUACUUUCAGAGUAGUCAGAUUUCCACACCGGAAGUGACGAUGCCCAGCUGGAGGAGGAGGCGUUCACACAGGGCCCCUCACACAGAUAGGAACCACACAGCUCACACAGGGCCCUUACACAGAUAGGAACCACACAGCUCACACAGGGCCCUUACACAGAUAGGAACCACACAGCUCACACAGGGCCCUUCCACAGAUAGGAACCACACAGCUCACACAGGGCCCUUACACAGAUAGGAACCACACAGCUCACACAGGGCCCCUCACACAGAU